CAGAAUUGGACCAGUACAGAUCCCUGAGGGACAACGUGUGUCGGGACAGAAGCAUCUUAGUGAACACCAUUCACAAAGUCUGGGUUCGGUCGGUGAGACACGAUCGAAAGGAGGACAAAGGAACACGAUAAAUGCCAAAAGACUGCUGAAGUCUGUGUGGAGGUAUGGAAUGAUCCACAGUAUCAAAUGACAGAUCAGCUGACACGUCUAGCAAGGUCGGAAAUGACACUUUGUGGAGCAGAUCCUUUUACAACUUUGAGAAGUGCAGAUUGAGUACAUGGCCUUCUCUAUGACCGACUGGAAUGGACUGAAGAGAUGAUUGCUCUCUCCAUGCACUGGGAAAAACAAUCUUUUGCAGAACUUUAGACAGAAAAGACAGUGACACAUUUCCUCUCUCCCUGGCCUGGAGCCUACCGAUAGUGGGUGCAGUGUUGUUGAUCUUGGCCUCCACCGAUGUGACAUGGUGUUUCUCUUGCUGCGGAUAUGUGUGUGUCUUUGCGGACCCCAUCUUCCUCUCCAAGUCAACCACAGCCAACCUUUCUUUACAAGAAAAAGAAAAGGAGAAGAAGAAAAAAAUCCACUGACCAAGGCCGGGACC